rnacentral:lncRNA from 1 species
CAGGAAAGGAAGCUUAUCUUCUAGAGUGCUGACACUGGUGGCAUAGGAAAGGAAGCGUAUAUGCUUAUCUUUGAAGAGUGCAUUCUUUUACUUUGAGAUAAUGUCUAAUGCAUUCUUUACUCUAAUGGUUAAAGCGGAUGUACAAUGUAUGUUUAACAGGUCAUAAGUCAAGCUUCUUUAGUUCAGGCCAAAUCAGGUUUAAACCAGAAUAGCUGACCCAUAUACCUCAAUAUGUGGAAAUUUCUUGUCAGACACAAAUGAUUAUUGGAUAGUCUGAACAACCAAAAUAGAUGAAACACUAUGUAGAGUUACUAAGUGUUCUUCCCAUCUUUGUCCUAAUGGAUGCUCUUUGAAACCUAGAAACUAUGCUGAAUUUGGAGUUGCUGCAUUUAAAUAGACCCAGAAUAAAGCAGGAGUGGAGGCAGGACACACUUCUCUCUCUGCCUUUUAAAAAGCAGAGACUUUUUGGAAGAGGAACCAACUCCACCAGAGUCAUCUGCUUAAAACAGUCCAGAGUGGCCUAAGUCAAAGGGCACACAGUGGGAGAGGUUAAAAAGUUCUCACCCCUUUCCCCCAGGUAGCAAAGUCUGUACAGACUUUUCCCAACCAAAAUCCAUCUGCCUUACCAUUACAGGUGACUUGACCAUUUCUAUUUUUAGGGUGUGCAUUCAACAAUAUUCAGUAGGUAUUCAUCAAGUCUCUGCAACAUGCCAGUGCUGUGCUGUUUGCUGGUUUUACAGUGCUGCAGAAAAUCCCUGGACAACUGUCACGGACUAGAAAAUUUGUGCCCCAUUCAGAGAAGGCAUGGGUUGCUGCUCCAUCACUGAGCAUGCUGCUGCAUCUGCGCCUGGGCCACCCCAAGGCUCCCCGAUCUGGGGCAAGGCACUGGGGCAAGGUUGGAGACCUAAAGAAGAAUGAAAUUUGUGCUUCCAGCACCUUCACGUUGCCGGAGUCUCGGUGGAAAUCUGCUAGUCUGUGUCAACAGCAUAGCUUCACUUCAUCCAGGAAGUUACAGUGAGAACUCCUCAUUUCCAAAAGUUUAGGAAAACUUGAACUUAUACUUGAAAUAAAUCUCCAUAGUGGUGCA